GGAGACAGCCAGACGAUCGCCGGCCCAUGUCUGUGGGCGGGAGGAAAGUCCGGGCUCCACAGGGCAGGAUGGUCCUUAACGGGGACCGGGGGCGACCUUAGGGAUAGUGCCACAGAGAGAAGACCGCCCGUCGUCGUUUUUGCGAUGGCAGGUAAGGGUGAAAGGGUGAGGUAAGAGCUCACCAGUGUCGGCGGUGACGUCGGCAGCUAGGUAAACCCCAUCCGGAGCAAGGCCAAAUGGGAGUGCUUGAGGACGGCCCGUCCGAAGCUCCCGGGUCAGGCUGCUUGAGGCCGUCGGCAACGGCGGUCCUAGAGGAAUGAUCGUCACUCUGCAGGGGGUAACCGCUACAGAGGACAAAACCCGGCUUACGGUUCUCUCCGACC
rnacentral:RNase_P_RNA from 1 species